rnacentral:lncRNA from 1 species
CCAUUGUUAUAUUAUUGUUAGUUUCUAUGUGUGUUACAUUUUAACGUUGCGUCGUUUGUUUUCUCUUAUUUUUUAGUGUAAUUUCACAUUGCGAUAAGACGUGUCACGGUACUUGUCUAUCCCAAAUUCAUGUAUUUGGUUUUGAUGUUAUAUUUGUUAUUCUCGUGGGAUUUUGUCUGAUGCUUGGUCCGUUUCUGUGUGUGUUACAUUUUAGUGUUGUGUCGUUGUUCUCCUCUUAUAUUUAAUGCGUUUCCCUCGGUUUUAGUUUGUUACCCCGAUUUAGUUUUUUGUUCAUGGAUUUAUGAGUUUUGAACAGCGGUAUACUACUGUUGCCUUUAUGUAUA